GUCCGGAGUCGGCGACGCCUUCCGCCUGCGCCCGUUCCAGUUGGGCGACCGUGCAGUGCACGCAUUCCGGGUGCAUGCCCGCCCAGACGCC
rnacentral:tRNA from 1 species